rnacentral:tRNA from 1 species
GCUGUGAUGGCCGAGUGGUUAAGGUGUUGGAUUUGAAAUCCAAUGGGGUUUCCCCGCGCAGGUUCGAACCCUGCUCUCAGCG